GACGAACGCUGGCGGCAGGCUUAACACAUGCAAGUCGUACGAGAACGGAUUAUAGCUUGCUAUAAUUGUCAGCUAAGUGGCGCACGGGUGAGUAAUGUAUAGGUAAUAUGCCUCUUACUAAGGGAUAACAAAUGGAAACGUUUGCUAAUACCUUAUACUCCUUAUUAACCUAAGUUAAUAAGGGAAAGAUUUAUUGGUAAGAGAUUAGCCUGUAUUGUAUCAGUUAGUUGGUGGGGUAAUGGCUCACCAAGACUAUGACACAUAACUGGUUUGAGAGGAUGAUCAGUCACACUGGAACUGAGACACGGUCCAGACUCCUACGGGAGGCAGCAGUGGGGAAUAUUGCACAAUGGACGAAAGUCUGAUGCAGCAACGCCGCGUGGAGGAUGACACAUUUCGGUGCGUAAACUCCUUUUAUAUGAGAAGAUAAUGACGGUAUUAUAUGAAUAAGCACCGGCUAACUCCGUGCCAGCAGCCGCCGUAAAAC
rnacentral:rRNA from 1 species